UCAAGUAAUUAAGUGCAUGUGGUGGAUGCCUUGGCAGUCAGAGGCGAUGAAAGACGUAAUAGCCUGCGAAAAGCUCCGGGGAGGCGGCAAAUAUCCUGUGAUCCGGAGAUUUCUGAAUGGGGAAACCCACUUACCAUAAGGUAGGUAUCGCAUGAUGAAUACAUAGUCAUGCGAAGCGAACGAGGGGAAGUGAAACAUCUCAGUACCCUUAGGAAAAGAAAUCAAUUGAGAUUCCCUUAGUAGCGGCGAGCGAACGGGGAAAAGCCCAUUAAGUUAUCUAAGUUCUAGUGGAAUGCUCUGGGAAGUGCAACCAUAGUGGGUGAUAGUCCUGUACACGAAAGGGCUUAGAUAAUGAUGUCGAGUAGGGCGAGGCACGUGAAACCUUGUCUGAAUAUGGGGGGACCAUCCUCCAAGGCUAAAUACUCCUGACUGACCGAUAGUGAACCAGUACCGUGAGGGAAAGGCGAAAAGAACCCCUGUGAGGGGAGUGAAAUAGAUCCUGAAACCGCAUGCAUACAAGCAGUGGGAGCCGGCAUUGCGUCCGGUGACUGCGUACCUUUUGUAUAAUGGGUCAGCGACUUAUAUUCAGUAGCGAGGUUAACCGAAUAGGGGAGCCGUAGAGAAAUCGAGUCUUAAUAGGGCGAAUUAGUUGCUGGGUAUAGACCCGAAACCAGGUGAUCUAUCCAUGAGCAGGUUGAAGGUUGGGUAACACUAACUGGAGGACCGAACCCACUGUCGUUGAAAAGCCAGGGGAUGACUUGUGGAUAGGGGUGAAAGGCUAAUCAAACUUGGUGAUAGCUGGUUCUCCCCGAAAGCUAUUUAGGUAGCGCCUCGGACGAAUACCAUUGGGGGUAGAGCACUGUUUCGGCUAGGGGGUCAUCCCGACUUACCAAACCGAUGCAAACUCCGAAUACCAAUGAGUACUAUCCGGGAGACAGACUGCGGGUGCUAACGUCCGUAGUCAAGAGGAAAACAAUCCAGACCGCCAGCUAAGGCCCCAAAAUUAUAGUUAAGUGGGAAACGAUGUGGGAAGGCAUAGACAGCUAGGAGGUUGGCUUAGAAGCAGCCACCCUUUAAAGAAAGCGUAAUAGCUCACUAGUCGAGUCGGCCUGCGCGGAAGAUGUAACGGGGCUAAAACUAUAUGCCGAAGCUGCGGAUUUGCAAUUUAUUGCAAGUGGUAGGGGAGCGUUCUGUAAGCCGAUGAAGGUGGAUUGAGAAGUCUGCUGGAGGUAUCAGAAGUGCGAAUGCUGACGUGAGUAACGACAAUGCGAGUGAAAAACUCGCACGCUGAAAGACCAAGGGUUCCAGUCCAACGUUAAUCGGGGCUGGGUGAGUCGACCCCUAAGGCGAGGCCGAGAGGCGUAGUCGAUGGGAAAUUGGUUAAUAUUCCAAUACUUCUGUGUAAUGCGAUGAGAGGACGGAGAAGGUUAAGUCAGCCUGGCGUUGGUUGUCCAGGUGAAAGGUUGUAGGCAUGUAUCUUAGGCAAAUCCGGGGUACUCUAUGCUGAGAACUGAUAGCAAGCUGUACUUGUACAGUGAAGUGGCUGAUACCAUGCUUCCAGGAAAAGUCUCUAAGCUUCAGUUACACAGGAAUCGUACCCGAAACCGACACAGGUGGUCAGGUCGAGUAGACCAAAGCGCUUGAGAGAACUCUGCUGAAGGAACUAGGCAAAAUGGUACCGUAACUUCGGGAGAAGGUACGCUGCCGACGGUGAUGGGAUUUACUCCCUGAGCGGUUGGCAGCCACAGAAACCAGGCCCCUGCAACUGUUUAUUAAAAACAUAGCACUCUGCAAACACGAAAGUGGACGUAUAGGGUGUGAUGCCUGCCCGGUGCUGGAAGGUUAAUUGAUGGGGUUAGCGUAAGCGAAGCUCUUGAUCGAAGCCCCAGUAAACGGCGGCCGUAACUAUAACGGUCCUAAGGUAGCGAAAUUCCUUGUCGGGUAAGUUCCGACCUGCACGA
rnacentral:rRNA from 1 species